GACGAACGCUGGCGGCGUGCUUAACACAUGCAAGUCGAACGGUAAGGCCCUUCGGGGUACACGAGUGGCGAACGGGUGAGUAACACGUGGGUGAUCUGCCCUGCACUUCGGGAUAAGCCUGGGAAACUGGGUCUAAUACCGGAUAGGACUCCGGACUGCAUGGUCUGGGGUGGAAAGCUUUUGCGGUGUGGGAUGGGCCCGCGGCCUAUCAGCUUGUUGGUGGGGUGAUGGCCUACCAAGGCGACGACGGGUAGCCGGCCUAAGAGGGUGACCGGCCACACUGGGACUGAGAUACGGCCCAGACUCCUACGGGAGGCAGCAGUGGGGAAUAUUGCACAAUGGGCGCAAGCCUGAUGCAGCGACGCCGCGUGAGGGAUGACGGCCUUCGGGUUGUAAACCUCUUUCAGCAUCGACGAAGCGAAAGUGACGGUAGGUGCAGAAGGAGGACCGGCCAACUACGUGCCAGCAGCCGCCGCCG
rnacentral:rRNA from 1 species